UGGUCAAUAGCCUGCUGAACCACUUGGAAGAAUGUAAACGAAUAAGAUAAAGUUCUAGGUAGAUUAAUGAUAAUGACAUUAUCUAUCUAUAAGUCUUGACCAAAUUACGUGCCAGCAGUCGCGGUAACACGUAGAAGACUAGUGUUAUUCAUCUUUAUUAGGUUUAAAGGGUACCUAGACGGAAAAUAAAGCCAACUAAUUUUCUAGAGUUUUAUAGGAGAAGGGAAUUUCCAGAGGAAAGUUGAUAUUUAGUGAUACGAGGACGGACAACAGCGAAGGCAACCUUCUAUGUAAAAACUGACGUUGAGGGACGAAGCCUUGGGUAACGAUAAGGAUUAGAUACCCUAGUAGUCCUUGGAGACAAUUAUGAAUGUCAUAGGCCAGAUAAUUGAUUUAACCCUAAGCGGUAAUAAGUUAAUGUAUUUUAGCCUAUAAAUGAAAGUGUAAGCAUUCCACCUCAUGAGUAAAGCGGCAACGCCCAAAUUGAAAUCAUUAGACCGUUUCUGAAACCAGUAGUGAAGUAUGUUAUUUAAUUCGAUGAUCCGCGAAUAACCUUACCACAACUUGAAUAUUAUUCAUAUUACAAGCGCUGCACGGGUCUUCAGUUAAUGUCGUGAGAUUUUGGUUCGUUCCUUUAAUUAACGAAAACCCUUGCUUUAUUUAUUUAUAUAAAGUAGUUCUCCGUUAUAUUGGAUAAGUAGGGACGACAAGUCAUUUAAUAGCGUGGGCUU
rnacentral:rRNA from 1 species